GGAAUCGCUAGUAAUCGCGAAUCAGAAUGUCGCGGUGAAUACGUUCCCGGGUCUUGUACACACCGCCCGUCACACCAUGGGAGUCGGAAAUGCCCGAAGUCUGUGACCCAACCUUAGGGAGGGAGCAGCCGAAGGCAGGUCGGAUGACUGGGGUGAAGUCGUAACAAGGUAUC
rnacentral:rRNA from 1 species